rnacentral:rRNA from 1 species
UACGUAGGGUGCAAGCGUUAAUCGGAAUUACUGGGCGUAAAGCGUGCGCAGGCGGUUUUGUGAGACAGGGGUGAAAUCCCCGGGCUUAACCUGGGAACUGCAUUUGUGACUGCAAAGCUGGAGUGCGGCAGAGGGGGAUGGAAUUCCGCGUGUAGCAGUGAAAUGCGUAGAUAUGCGGAGGAACACCGAUGGCGAAGGCAAUCCCCUGGGCCUGCACUGACGCUCAUGCACGAAAGCGUGGGGAGCAAACAGG